CCUACGGGAGGCAGCAGUGAGGAAUAUUGGUCAAUGGACGCAAGUCUGAACCAGCCAUGCCGCGUGCAGGAUGACGGCUCUAUGAGUUGUAAACUGCUUUUGUACGAGGGUAAACCCCGAUACGUGUAUCGGGUUGAAAGUAUCGUACGAAUAAGGAUCGGCUAACACCGUGCCAGCAGCCGCGGUAAUACGGAGGAUGCGAGCGUUAUCCGGAUUUAUUGGGUUUAAGGGGUGCGUAGGCGGAUUAUCAAGUCAGCGGUAAAAUCGUGGAGCUCAACUCCAUCCAGCCGUUGAAACUGAUGAUCUUGAGUGGGCGAGAAGUAUGCGGAAUGCGUGGUGUAGCGGUGAAAUGCAUAGAUAUCACGCAGAACUCCGAUUGCGAAGGCAGCAUACCGGCGCCCGACUGACGCUGAAGCACGAAAGCGUGGGUAUCGAACAGGAUUAGAUACCCGGGUAGUC
rnacentral:rRNA from 1 species